GCCUUUAUGUCACAACAUUACUGAGACUUUAUGGUAACAUUAUUACAUAGACUUUAUAGUAACAACAUUACAGAGCCUUUAUAGUAAGUAACAACAUUACAGAGCCUUUAUAUAACAACAUUACAGAGCCUUUAUGUAACAACAUUACAGAUAAUUUAUGUAACAACAUUACAGAGAAUCUAUGUAACAACAUUACAGAGCCUUUAUGUAACAACAUUACAGAGCCUUUAUGUAACAACAUUACAGAGAAUUU
rnacentral:lncRNA from 1 species